UACGUAGGGGGCAAGCGUUGUCCGGAUUUAUUGGGCGUAAAGCGCUCGCAGGUGGUCCGAUGCGUCGUGCGUGAAAGACCCCGGCUCAACUGGGGGGCGUCGUGCGAUACGGUCGGACUGGAGGCCAGUAGGGGGGAUGCGGAAUUCCGGGUGUAGUGGUGGAAUGCGUAGAGAUCCGGAGGAACACCAGCGGCGAAGGCGGUUCUCUGGGCCUUCCGUGACGCU
rnacentral:rRNA from 1 species